GUUUCAAGGUCUUUAGUUCUACUUCCUGAAUAAAGGCCUACUUUAUGUCUAACAUUAGACCUACUUCCUGACUACAGGUAUAAAGGCCUACUUUAGGUCUAACAUUAGAUCUACUUCCUGACUACAGGUAUAAAGGUCUAUAGUUCUACUGCCUGACUACAGAGUGUCUAUAGGUCUCUUAAGGUGUUGCUAUCUAAUGUGAACACCUCAAAGCUGAACAUUUUCCAUUGACGUCACGUUGGUGUGAAACCUGUUUACCUCGAUGCUAGACCCUCCUCUUCCUGUCACAACAUGGGUUUCAGAGAAAAGGACCACGAGCUGAAAACUUUCCACUCAAUUGAACCAAUCGCUGCUCGUAUGUCCUUUCAUGGUAAAGUACAUCGAGUCAUGAACACGGAAAUACGCAGCAAAGACCUUGUUACUCAAAGACCCAGCUACUCUCUGACAGUCACCAUCAGACCAUCAGACCACCAGAUGGACAGGCUGUGUGUUUCUCUGAUUGCAUUCUUAUGUGCUGUUUCCGCCAGUCAGGAUGGGAUCUCUGCAGCAGAGGUGGAGCUGAGAGUCAGACCAGGAGACAGUGGAGGAAGGAGACCUGUUUUACGCCUCGUUGGAUAUCCGUCAGGGACAGAGGAGACCAAAGAAGAAGAAGAAGAGAGUCCAGAACUCUGACUUCAGUACCUACACAGCCAUCAAUACCAGCAGAGUGAGACCUAUACCAGCCAUCAAUACCAGCAGAGUGUGAGACCUAUACCAUCCAUCAAUACCAGCAGAGUGAGACCUAUACCAUCCAUCAAUACCAGCAGAGUGUGAGACCUAUACCAUCCAUCAAUACCAGCAGAGUGAGACCUAUACCAUCCAUCAAUACCAGCAGAGUGUGAGACCUAUACCAUCCAUCAAUACCAGCAGAGUGAGACCUAUACCAUCCAUCAAUACCAGCAGAGUGUGGUCUCUGAACUUCUCUAUCAGAGACCAGUCAUUCUCCAUGUCUGUAGUGAAUUGAACUUCUCUAUCAGAGACCAGUCAUUCUCCAUGUCUGUAGUGAAUUGAACUUCUCUAUCAGAGACCAGUCAUUCUCCUUGUCUGUAGUGAAUUGAACUUCUCUAUCAGAGACCAGUCAUUCUCCUUGUCUGUAGUGAAUUGAACUUCUCUAUCAGAGACCAGUCAUUCUCCUUGUCUGUAGUGAAUUGAACUUCUCUAUCAGAGACCAGUCAUUCUCCUUGUCUGUAGUGAAUUGAACUUCUCUAUCAGAGACCAGUCAUUCUCCUUGUCUGUAGUGAAUUGAACUUCUCUAUCAGAGACCAGUCAUUCUCCAUGUCUGUAGUGAAUUGAACUUCUCUAUCAGAGACCAGUCAUUCUCCUUGUCUGUAAUGAACUUCUCUUCUACGUGUCCAAUUAGAUCAGCAUCAAACUGUUGUCAUUUGUUAUUUUGCCUUUAUUUUUUAUUUAUAGAGAUCCUUUUAACACAAAGUUUCUACUUUUAUCUGAACUUUUUUGUCGCUUCUUUUAUAAUGUAAUAUUUUUUUACCAUUUAAAAAUGUCUCCAACAUUUUAUUGUUGUGCAUUUUCUAUUUUUUAUGGACAUAAUGAUCAGGUCUGAUUUAUAGUUCAGAUUGAGAUAAUGAUAAUAUGUGAUUUAUAGUUCAGAUUGAGAUAAUGAUAAUGUCUGAUUUGCAGUCUGUGUAUCUAACCUAAAGCAGCAGGUGUAAAAGUGUAUCCAC
rnacentral:lncRNA from 1 species